rnacentral:rRNA from 1 species
AGAGUUUGAUCAUGGCUCAGGACGAACGCUGGCGGCGUGCUUAACACAUGCAAGUCGAGCGGAAAGGCCACUUCGGUGGUACUCGAGCGGCGAACGGGUGAGUAACACGUGAGUAAUCUGCCCCUCACUUUGGGAUAGCCACCGGAAACGGUGAUUAAUACCGGAUAUGACCAUAUGUCGCAUGGCGUGUGGUGGAAAGUUUUUCGGUGAGGGAUGUGCUCGCGGCCUAUCAGCUUGAUGGUGAGGUAAUGGCUCACCAUGGCUUCGACGGGUAGCCGGCCUGAGAGGGUGACCGGUCACACUGGGACUGAGACACGGCCCAGACUCCUACGGGAGGCAGCAGUGGGGAAUAUUGGACAAUGGGCGGAAGCCUGAUCCAGCAACGCCGCGUGAGGGAUGACGGCCUUCGGGUUGUAAACCUCUUUCAGUACCGACGAAGCGCGAGUGACGGUAGGUACAGAAGAAGCACCGGCCAACUACGUGCCAGCAGCCGCGGUAAUACAUAGGGUGCGAGCGUUGUCCGGAAUUAUUGGGCGUAAAGGGCUCGUAGGCGGUUUGUCGCGUCGGGAGUGAAAACGCCGUGCUUAACACGGCGCUUGCUUUCGAUACGGGCAGACUAGAGGUAUGCAGGGGAGAACGGAAUUCCUGGUGUAGCGGUGAAAUGCGCAGAUAUCAGGAGGAACACCGGUGGCGAAGGCGGUUCUCUGGGCAUGACCAGACGCUGAGGAGCGAAAGUGUGGGGAGCGAACAGGAUUAGAUACCCUGGUAGUCCACACCGUAAACGUUGGGCGCUAGGUGUGGGGUCCAUUCCACGGAUUCCGUGCCGCAGCUAACGCAUUAAGCGCCCCGCCUGGGGAGUACGGCCGCAAG